rnacentral:rRNA from 1 species
ACCCCUUUCUCUUUUGUCCACACACCUGUGCACUUUCUGUAGGUCCUCGAAAAGGGGAUCUAUGUUUUUUACACACACUACGUACACAAUGUUGUAUAUAUUGUAUGGCUGGAGGAUUAAUGUGAAAACAUGCAUGUCGUUAUACAACUUUCAGCAACGGAUCUCUUGGCUCUCGCAUCGAUGAAGAACGCAGCGAAUUGCGAUAAGUAAUGUGAAUUGCAGAUUUCCAGUGAAUCAUCGAAUCUUUGAACGCACCUUGCGCUCCUUGGUAUUCCGAGGAGCAUGCCUGUUUGAGUGUCAUUGAAUUAUCAACCAUGUCUUUGUUGACGUGGCUUGGAGUUUGGGAGGUUGCUGGCUUGUCAGCUCUUCUGAAAUGUAUUGGCAGAUGGUCGCUUGGUCCUUGACGUGCACGGCCUCGGACGUGAUAAUGAUCGUCGUCGCUGGAGUGUCUUGGAACACGCAGGAAUGGCCUGUUGCCUUUAAUCUAAAUAUAUGCUUUAGCUACUAGCUUUCGUCGCAAGACGCGGGCGAAUGCACGGCAUGUAGAUCUNGGAAACUUGNCCUNGACCUCAAAUCAGGUAGGACUACCCGCUGAACUUAAGCAUAUCAAUAAGCGGAGGAAAAGAAACUANCAAGGAUUCCCUUAGUAACUGCGAGUGAAGCGGGAAAAGCUCAAAUUUUGAAUCUGGCGGUCUUUGGCCGUCCGAGUUGUAAUCUAGAGAAGCGUCUUCCGCGCUGGACCGUGUACAAGUCUCCUGGAAGGGAGCGUCAUAGAGGGUGAGAAUCCCGUCUUUGACACGGACUGCCAGGGCUUUGUGAUGCGCUCUCGACGAGUCGAGUUGUUUGGGAAUGCAGCUCAAAACGGGUGGUAAAUUCCAUCUAAAGCUAAAUACAGGCGAGAGACCGAUAGCGAACAAGUACCGUGAGGGAAAGAUGAAAAGAACUUUGGAAAGAGAGUUAAACAGUACGUGAAAUUGCUGAAAGGGAAACGCUUGAUGUCAGUCACGUCGGCCAGGGAUCAACCAUGCUUUCUUGCUUGGUGCACUUUCUGGUCGACGGGUCAGCAUCAGUUUUGGUCGUCGUAAAAUGAGGAGGAGAAUGUGGCACUCUUUCGUGGAGUGUGUUAUAGCUCUUUGUCGUAUGCGUCGGUCAGGACUGAGGAACUCGGCACGACUUUGGUCUGUGUCUAGGAUGCUGGCAUAAUGGCCUUAAGCGACCCGUCUUGAAACACGGACCAAGGAGUCUAACAUGCCUGCGAGUGUUUGGGUGGCAAACCUGAGCGCGCAAUGAAAGUGAACGUCGAGAUCUUUGUCGUGGAGAGCAUCGACGCCCGGACCAGAGUCUUUGACGAAGGAUCUGCGGUAGAGCAUGUAUGUUGGGACCCGAAAGAUGGUGAACUAUGCCUGAAUAG